UACGGAGGAUGCAAGCGUUAUCCGGAAUGAUUGGGCGUAAAGCGUCCGCAGGUGGCUGUGUAAGUCUGCUGUUAAAUAGUGAGGCUCAACCUCAUAAAGGCAGUGGAAACUACACGGCUAGAGUGCGUUCGGGGCAGAGGGAAUUCCUGGUGUAGCGGUGAAAUGCGUAGAGAUCAGGAAGAACACCGGUGGCGAAAGCGCUCUGCUAGGCCGCAACUGACACCGAGGGACGAAAGCUAGGGGAGCGAAUGGG
rnacentral:rRNA from 1 species